rnacentral:tRNA from 1 species
UCCUGGUGACUCAGACGGUAAAGCGUCUGCCUGCAAUGCGGGAGACCCGGGUUCGAUUCCUGGGUCAGGAA